rnacentral:rRNA from 1 species
AUUGAACGCUGGCGGCAGGCCUAACACAUGCAAGUCGAGCGGAGCGGCGGACGGGUGAGUAAUUCCUAGGAAUCUGCCUGGUAGUGGUGGAUAACGUCCGGAAACGGGCGCUAAUACCACAUACUAUCAGAUGAGCCUAGGUCGGAUUAGCUAUUUGGUGGUGUAAAGGCCUACCAAGGCGACGAUCCGUAACUGGUCUGAGCGGAUGAUCAGUCAAACGGGAACUGAGACACGGUCCAGACUCCUACGGGAGGCAGCAGUGGGGAAUAGUGGACAAUGGGCGAAAGCCUGAUCCAGCCAUGCAGCGUGUGUGAAGAAGGUCUGCGGAUUGUAAAGCACUUUAAGUUGGGAGGCGUUACCAGCAGAAUAAGCACCGGCUAACUUCGUGCCAGCAGCCGCGGUAAUAC